rnacentral:rRNA from 1 species
CCCAAGAGAUCGGGAUAACACCCUGGAAACAGAUGCUAAUACCGGAUAACAACAGAUGAUGCCUAUCAACUGUUUAAAAGAUGGUUCUGCUAUCACUCUUGGAUGGACCUGCGGUGCAUUAGCUAGUUGGUAGGGUAACGGCCUACCAAGGGCGAUGAUGCAUAGCCGAGUUGAGAGACUGAUCGGCCACAUUGGGACUGAGACACGGCCCAAACUCCUACGGGAGGCAGCAGAG